rnacentral:rRNA from 1 species
UACGUAGGGUGCGAGCGUUAAUCGGAAUUACUGGGCGUAAAGCGUGAGCAGGCGGUUUUGUAAGCCAGAUGUGAAAGCCCCGGGCUUAACCUGGGAAUGGCAUUUGGGACUGCAAGGCUUGAGUGCGGCAGAGGAGACUGGAAUUCCUGGUGUAGCAGUGAAAUGCGUAGAUAUCAGGAGGAAUACCGAUGGCGAAGGCAGGUCUCUGGGCUGACACUGACGCUCAUGCACGAAAGCGUGGGGAGCAAACAGG